GACGUAGGGCGCGAGCGUUGUCCGGAUUUAUUGGGCGUAAAGAGCUCGUAGGCGGCUUGUCGCGUCGUUCGUGAAAACCUGCAGCUCAACUGCAGGCUUGCGGUCGAUACGGGCAGGCUGGAGUUCGGUAGGGGAGACCGGAAUUCCUGGUGUAGCGGUGAAAUGCGUAGAUAUCGAGAGGAACACCUGCGGCGAAGGCGGGUUGCUGGGCUGACACUGACGCUGAGGCGCGAAAGCUAGGGGAGCGAACGGG
rnacentral:rRNA from 1 species